rnacentral:rRNA from 1 species
GACGAACCGUGCGAACGUUGUCCGGAUUCACUGGGCUUAAAGGGCGCGUAGGCGGGCUUGUAAGUCAGGGGUGAAAUCCUCCGGCUCAACCGGAGAACAGCCUUUGAUACUGCAAGUCUCGAGGGAGAUAGGGGUCUGUGGAACUUCCGGUGGAGCGGUGAAAUGCGUAGAUAUCGGAAGGAACGCCGGUGGCGAAAGCGACGGACUGGAUCUCAUCUGACGCUGAGGCGCGAAAGCUAGGGUAGCGAACGGG